UACGAAGGGUGCAAGCGUUACUCGGAAUUACUGGGCGUAAAGCGUGCGUAGGUGGUUCGUUAAGUCUGAUGUGAAAGCCCUGGGCUCAACCUGGGAAUUGCAUUGGAUACUGGCGGGCUAGAGUGCGGUAGAGGAUGGCGGAAUUCCCGGUGUAGCAGUGAAAUGCGUAGAGAUCAGGAAGAACAUCUGUGGCGAAGGCGGCCAUCUGGACCAGCACUGACACUGAGGCACGAAAGCGUGGGGAGCAAACAGG
rnacentral:rRNA from 1 species